CAGCCGCCACGGGAAUACGGAGGGGGCUAGCGUUGUUCGGAAUCACUGGGCGUAAAGGGUGCGUAGGCGGAUUCUUAAGUCAGGGGUGAAAUCCCGAGGCUCAACCUCGGAACUGCCUUUGAUACUGGGGAUCUUGAGUCCGGAAGAGGUGAGUGGAACUGCGAGUGUAGAGGUGAAAUUCGUAGAUAUUCGCAAGAACACCGGUGGCGAAGGCGGCUCACUGGUCCGGAACUGACGCUGAGGCACGACAGCGUGGGGAGCAAACAGGAUUAGAUACCCCCGUAGUCCCUGUCUCUUAUAC
rnacentral:rRNA from 1 species